rnacentral:tRNA from 1 species
GGGGUUGUAGCUCAUAUGGUAGAGCGCUCGCUUCGCAUGCGAGAGGUACGGAGUUCGAUUCUCCGCAGCUCCA